UGCCUAGAAUUGAAUCCGUCUGUCUGUCCAACUUAGCUUUUAUUCAAGGAUUGAAAAUUCUAAAAAAUAGAACUGCAGUGACAGCCAUUUAUGUGACAGCCAUUUCCCUUUAUGUGAAUCCAUAAAUGGAAAAAUAUUCUUGGGGUGUAAAUCAUAUAAAAAAUAUUGUUAUUUCUGUUUGACACAAUAAAUCCCUAGUGUCUUCUUCUAAAAAAUAAACCUCACCAUGAUUACACAUUGCAAACCAAAAAGUUAUCUAAAACUGGUCUCAAUCAAUUUAGAAGUUUAAUUUGCCAAGGUAAAGGACAUGCUGGUGACACAGACCCAGAAGGUCCUGAGUACAUAUGUCCAAGGUGAUCGGGCUACCGUUUGGUUUUUACAUGUUUUAGGGAGACCUAAGACAUCAAUUAAUACAUGCAAGGUGUAAAUUUCUUCUGUUUAGAAACACAGGACAACAAAACGUGGGAGAAGGUCGGGGAUCCAGGUCAUAAGAAGGAUUUCAAGGUUUUCUGAUUGUCAAUUGGUUGAAAGAGUUUAAAAACCUGGAAUCAAUAGAAGAAAGUGUCUGGGUUCAGAUAAGGGGCUGGGUAGACCCAGGCUUUUAUUAUGCAUCUUUAAAACUGAUGCUAAAUCUGGCAGCAGCAUGAUUGGGUCCUAGAGUACUGACAUAGUCUUGAAUAUGCUGUUUGCUUAAAAGAGCUUCAAAACGUGUGAGAGACAGAAAGGCACUCUUCCAUUGAACCUUAGUGUGCAUUUGAGUUUCCAUUUUCGGUUGACUCUCGUGUUGCUGCAUGAUGACUCUAGGACAAGGCAGAGACCUCCACGUCUCAUCUAUUUCCUGCUGCCCUCCCUUGCCAGCCCUCUUCCACCCAGGGGGAUGGCCCAGCAGCAACUCAGUCCGUGCUUGAUAAUCACCCAUCUCCAUACCCCACCCACCAACCACCAGGGUGCUGAGCUUUCCUCUGUGUCCUUCCAGUGUCUUCAGAUGACCAGGCGACUACCGUCGGACUCAGAUCCUGGGAAGAGGAAGAAGACCUGGUUGAGCAAAACCUCUAUAAACUAUCCCAGGAGAGAGUGAGAAGUAAGUACCAUGAAGUAACUCACUUCAUGAGGAACAAACUUGCUGCCUGAGUGUAUAGAAACCUGAUUCUGGGAUCCCGCUAGGAAGGAGGAUUCGGGGUCUCCUGAGAGAAAGUGAUUUGGCCAAUAUAGAACUCCAGCCAGAGAGGCUGUGGGAAGGUUUGUCUACCCAGAGCAAAGACCAGGGAAUGAUGUGUGAGGCAGCGUGGCUUCAGCUGGAGGAAGAGGCGUGGGUGAGUCACUCUUUCUAAUGACUUGUCCUGAUGUUUUUGUUUCUAAAGGCUGGAUUCUGGGGAGCAUCUUCACACUCACUGAAGAUGACCCCCAAGGUAGGGAACUACUUUCCAGGUAGGACCUGAAGGGAAAGUGUUCCUAAGAGCCUUCAGGUUAUCCCCGCUGCUUGAGGGGCUGAAGAAGGGAGUAUGAAAUCAGAAAGAAAA